CCUUUUCUAACUUUUCUUAAAAAUGGGAACAAGGUGCUACUAUUAAAUGAACAGUAAACUAAUCCGAAGUUAUUGUGCAAGAGAAGAAAAUGGUGUCAUUUUUUGUACCCUUUUAUUUUUUAUUAUUUUCGGCUGAUAGCAUACCUAAUACCAUACCAUUUCCAUUUUUUUCCCUCCAACGACCAUUCCUAUGCUUUUCUUCUGACUUGAUUUGAUGGAGGCGAAAGAAAACCAUCGGGAAAAUCAAACAAUGACUACACCACUGUUCUUCAUCCUUUUGCGGUUUGGGUCGGCACUCUUUCAUCUGGGUUGUUCCAAAUAUUCAAAAAUCAUCCAGUGAAGUUUGUUGGGGCUUGACUUGUGCAGUGGUGGUUUAUUCCUUCCAAUGUUGUUCUUGCCACCAUAUCAGGAUCCAUUAUAGGUCUCGUUGUUUAUUUUCAUACGUUUGUGUAAUAUGUUGAUUUUGAUUAUUUAUUUUGCUUUUAUAUAAGCAUAUUUUGCUUUUAUAUAAGCAAAAUUUUAACAUAAUAAAGGCUGCAAGAGUGAAUAGAGUUAAGAGGUAUAUCUUCUUUAAGAAGCUGACAAUCACAAGGUGCGGAGUUCCGCAUUCAAGCGAACCCUCUGCACUGUGCGGAAAGCAUUUUAUUUUUAUUUUUUUGAAGCUAACAUUUUUCUUACUUCUUUAGGCAAAAAAAAAAAAAAAAAAGAAGGAAAAAAAUUAAUUGCGAACUCUCCGCACACUAUGAGAGUUCAACCGAACUCUCCACAGCGUGUUGAACUCUCAUAGUGCUCGGAGAGUUCAAAUGGGGAGAGUAUUUUUUUUUUUAUUGGAGCCAGCAUUUUCCUACUUCACACAACAUCCAUUUAUCUUUCUUCUCUUCUAAAAUUUUCAACCCCAUUUUUUUCUUAUAAAAGUUGGCGAGUUUUGAUUUAGAAUUUUUAGUGAUGUUUGUUUUCUGUUGUUGAAAGGUAAAUAGCAUAUAUUUCUUGUUUGUGAUUAUACUACUAUUUUAGCUCAUUAAUGUUAUCUUCAAGGUGGUUAGUCAAAUAAAUAUAUAGUUAAAUACUUCAGCUGAAAAAAUAUGGUAAACUAAAAAAAUAAAUAAUCAAAUAGUAUUUAAAGCUGAAUCUCUUCACACAAUGUGAGAGUUCAAGCGAACUCUUUGCGCUGUACGGAGAGCAUUUUAGUUUGCAAGCACACUCGCAUGAUUGGUUUGCUAACUCAUUUAAUUCUUCACCAAAUAUAGAUUUGUUGUUUAGAUUUUUUUUUUAAAAAUAAUCAUGAUAUAGCAAUUAAAAAAUAAUUAAUUUCGUAAUUCUCACUUAUUUACUAAUUUAAAGGGUUAAUUUCACAAACGGUCACUGAACUUAGGAGAAAGUUACAAAACAAUCAUUGAAA